rnacentral:rRNA from 1 species
GAUGAACGCUGGCGGCGUGCCUAAUACGUGCAAGUCGAGCGAACAGAUGAGGAGCUUGCUCCUCUGACGUUAGCGGCGGACGGGUGAGUAACACGUGGAUAACCUACCUAUAAGACUGGGAUAACUUCGGGAAACCGUAGCUAAUACCGGAUAAUAUAUUGAACCGCAUGGUUCAAUAGUGAGAGACGGUUUUGCUGUCACUUAUAGAUGGAUCCGCGCCGCAUUAGCUAGUUGGUAAGGUAACGGCUUACCAAGGCAACGAUGCGUAGCCGACCUGAGAGGGUGAUCGGCCACACUGGAACUGAGACACGGUCCAGACUCCUACGGGAGGCAGCAGUAGGGAAUCUUCCGCAAAGGGCGAAAGCCUGACGGAGCAACGCCGCGUGAGUGAUGAAGGUCUUCGGAUCGUAAAACUCUGUUAUUAGGGAAGAACAAAUGUGUAAGUAACUAUGCACGUCUUGACGGUACCUAAUCAGAAAGCCACGGCUAACUACGUG